GUUAAUAUAAUAAUAUUAAACUGCAAAUUUAAAGUAAUCUAUUGAUUUUGACUUAGUAAA
rnacentral:tRNA from 1 species